rnacentral:lncRNA from 1 species
GAGGCGCCGUGUGCGCGGGGCUCGGGAGAGCGCGGAGUCCGGCAGGCUGAGAGCAGAGCCUGAGUGCGCCGCCGGUUCAGCCGGGCAGGGUCGCCUCGCGCCAGGAUGCUGCGCCCCGCCGCCCUGUCCAGCCAGCAACCCUGGCGCGACCCCGGGAAGAAGCACAGGUUCUUUCGUCCAGUCGCCGCUGGAGGACCGAAAGUUUUGCUCGCUGCAAGUCUCUUCCUCCCAGAGUCCCAGUCACCCACCAUGCGACGUCCCAGAAGGAUCCCGGAGGCUUAGUGGGAACGAAAUCGGCUGUUUUGCACCCCUCCAUCCUUAUCCCUCAGGGUAGAGCAGGGACUCUAGAGAGUACACCUCCCAGCUACCAUCCACUUCACCCUGUCUCCUCUCUCGGUGAGCCUUGGAAUCCGGUCUCUUCGCAGAUGCCUUCAGGAGUCAGAAGCAAAGGGGAAAUGGACAUAACUCCGAGAAACCGGUUUUAUUUCACAUUUAGAUACGGUUCUUCUGGUGAAGAUAGAAGGCAAAAAAAGUGAAUUUCGCCUGGAGUCCUUGGGAGACUGAGGCAGCAGGAUUAGUGAACGUCCAGCCUCAGCAACAGCUUUGCCACCAUGAGCUUCAUUGAUCACAUCCUACCACAACUAGGAGACCUAAACCUUGCUCACUGACAGCAUUUGAAGAUGCAAAUACUGCUAUGGAUUGGAAGGUGCCUGAGGAAUGAAAGGGGACAUAGCCAUUAUGACCCACCUCGUGAGAUUUUAGGGAAGAAAGACCAUAGUGAUUGCAUCUAUUAAGAAGCCCUUACUGACCUGCAUGGUGAGGCUCGUGUGAAAUUUCAGCAUGCGGGAGAUUGAGACAGAAGGAUCACAAGUUCAAGGCCACCCUAGGCUAUGUAUCAAGAACUUUUUUUGAACAAAGAAAAAAGAAACGGCAGUACAUAAUUUCUCCUAAGUCCAUGGUAAUUUGUUACAGUAGCCCCAGAGCUCUCCUUGCAGAUGAAGUAGAAGCCUGGGUCUAAAGAGACUUUGGCUUCCGUGUCUGACAUCUGAUCACGCUGAGGAAGACCCUGGCCUAAACUCUCCUGAGACAACAGCACCGAAGAACGAUUAAUCCUCCGGCGGUAGCGACUAGUCUAGUCUGUUCACUUAAAAGAAGCCAAACAGAAAACUGCCUGCCACCCUUAGCCUCACACCGACCAUGAACUAGAAUACGAAAGCCCCGCUUUGUGUUUGUGAACUCGUGGGGCUGAUAAGAAAGAACACAGCCUUGGAGCUAGAUGCCUUCUGGUUUGAAUCCCAAGCUCGAGUUUACUAAGUACAAACUUUUUCUCAGAAUCUGUGUCUGAUUCCUUAUAAAUAAGGAUAAUGUCUCUUUCACCAGGCUGCUGAGAUGCACCUGCCAUGUAUGGUGAGUUCAAUAAAUGUUUCUUUCUUUUCUGGC